GGGGGGGGGGGGGGGCGGGGCUGGGGGAUGCAAGUGGGGCGGGGGGCGGGGGCUUGCGUCUGAGGAGGGGGGCGCACGGGUGCGUAACACGUAUGUAACCUACCUGUAUCAGGGGGAUAGCCGCGCGACAGGGAGAUUAAGCCCGCAUAAAAUCACAGCACAGCAUUGUGUCAUGAUCGAAUAUUUAUAGGAUAAAGAUGGGCAUGCGGAACAUUAGCUAGCUGGCGGGGUAACGGCCCACCAUGGCGACGAUGUGUAGGGGAUCUGAGAGGAUGGCCCCCCACACUGGUACUGAGACACGGACCAGACUCCUACGGGAGGCAGCAGUAAGGAAUAUUGGUCAAUGGGCGGAAGCCUGAACCAGCCAUGCCGCGUGCAGGAAGACGGCCCUACGGGUUGUAAACUGCUUUUAUACGGGAAUAAACCCAGAUACGUGUAUCUGGCUGAAUGUACUGUAAGAAUAAGGAUCGGCUAACUCCGUG
rnacentral:rRNA from 1 species